CCUCUACUCCCAAGAGUCUUGUGGAAGACCGACACACAUCUCCUGGAGGUGGUGAAGGAUGAGGAAUUUGAUCAGGCAUUGUGGAAGAAAAGCCUUUUGGUGAAAACUUGGAAACUUGGAGAGGAAUCCUUACUCUGUUACACUGAGUGCUUCACUAUUUUCCAUUAUCUCUAGAAAAUGAAAUCACAUGGAGCAGAUAGGCUCAUCAGCCCUUGAUUCUUUGAUUUGGUAAAUACCACUAUUGGUUUGACUCAGCGUUUACUUUCCUCCUCAGCUGUUUCAUGGAGG
rnacentral:lncRNA from 1 species